UUGGAAACUUGAUUGCUAGCUUUACAUGAUGUUGCAGAAGCAAGGGGAACAGGCUUGCUAAAGUAAACAUGGUCAUAGAACUAUAUUAGGCUUUGAAAUAAAUUAUUUGAGCUUUUAAUUCUAUACCAGGGAUAAGG
rfam:Calypte anna contig59071, whole genome shotgun sequence.